GAAAAAAAAAACAAUUUUAAUUCCAAGAAAUAUUUCACGUUUGUUACAUGGUAACGGUUGCUGUCCAAACUGAUCAUGAACAGUAGUCACUGAAAUUUUUCUGAAAAGAGGUGGAAGAUAUCAAAGGACAAAUCAACUAAUAGACAACAAAAGAUAUAAACCAAGGAGAUGACAACAAAAUCAGAGUUCAAGGAAAGACACGG
rnacentral:lncRNA from 1 species